UCAAUUCUCAAUCAGUUGAAAUCUUCUCCAAAAUUAUGAAUGCCUUUCCAUUGUCUAUGUCAGAGAAUUCAAACGCAAAUCCUUCUCUGUGCUUCCAAUCCUCUUCGAUCCACACCAUGAAAUCCCCAGGUUACACCACAUCUUCAGUUUGGAUCGUGAUUUGUGAACUUCAUACUCAAGAGGUAAUUAAAAGAGGAUCUUUUUGGGGGAAUUAAUGGUUUAUGUGCCAAAAUAAAGUAUCGAGGAGCGGGUAGAAGAUUGGAAG